UACGAAGGGGGCGAGCGUUGUUCGGAUUUACUGGGCGUAAAGGGCGCGUAGGCGGCCCUCUUUGUCGCGUGUGAAAGCCCCGGGCUCAACCUGGGAAUUGCGCGCGAAACGGGGGGGCUGGAGUUCGGGAGAGGAGCGUGGAAUUCCCAGUGUAGAGGUGAAAUUCGUAGAUAUUGGGAAGAACACCGGUGGCGAAGGCGGCGCUCUGGACCGAGACUGACGCUGAGGCGCGAAAGCGUGGGGAGCGAACAGG
rnacentral:rRNA from 1 species